AGCCAUUGACAUCGACAUCUUGAACGCACAUUGCGGCUCCGGGUCACUCCCGGAGCCACGCCUGUCUGAGGGUCGGCUGAACAAAGCACUCGCCAGGUCGUCUCGCUGCGGCGAGAGCGGCGGUACACCUUUCUGGCGCGUUGACACGUCGCGUGGGGUGAGGCAAGAGAGGGACCCCCGGUCUUCGAGAGAAGCCGGGACCCUCGCACGCACACACACCACGCGUCUGUCCCGAGACUACAGCCUCUCAAACCGUCUCUCCGGGGGCAAGAAAGAGCUAAAACCGAAAGGUCUCGCGGCCUACGGAGACGUGGUUCGGGUAACCCCAAACCAACACGUCUCGCGCGAGCUUCCCGACGGGCCUCUUCCUUGGCGCGAUUCCAACCCCUGGGACAUCGAGAGAUGUGCGCGGCUUCUGGCCGCGCAAGGUUAGCGGUAUAAAGCCGCCGACCAAAACCCUUUCGCUCUCCGACCUCAGAUCAGACGAGACUACCCGCUGAAUUUAAGCAUAUAAUUAAGCGGAGGAAAAGAAACUAACAAGGAUUCCCCUAGUAACGGCGAGUGAAGGGGG
rnacentral:rRNA from 1 species